rnacentral:rRNA from 1 species
GAUGAACGCUGGCGGCGUGCUUAACACAUGCAAGUCGAACGGUGAAAGAGAGCUUGCUCUCUGGAUCAGUGGCGAACGGGUGAGUAACACGUAAGCAAUCUGCCCCUGACUCUGGGAUAAGCGCUGGAAACGGCGUCUAAUACCGGAUACGAGCUGCGAAGGCAUCUUCAGCAGCUGGAAAGAACUUCGGUCAGGGAUGAGCUCGCGGCCUAUCAGCUAGUUGGUGAGGUAACGGCUCACCAAGGCGUCGACGGGUAGCCGGCCUGAGAGGGUGACCGGCCACACUGGGACUGAGACACGGACCAGAGUCCUACGGGAGGCAGCAGUGGGGAAUAUUGCACAAUGGGCGAAAGCCUGAUGCAGCAACGCCGCGUGAGGGACGACGGCCUUCGGGUUGUAAACCUCUUUUAGCAGGGAAGAAGCGAAAGUGACGGUACCUGCAGAAAAAGCACCGGCUAACUACGUG